GUGAGUGUAGCUCAACCGGUUAGAGCAUCGGACUGUGGAUCCGAAGGUUGGGGGUUCAAGUCCCCUCACUCACCCCA
rnacentral:tRNA from 2 species